GCGCGAACGUUGGCGGCGUGCCUAACACAUGCAAGUCGUGGGGCAGCAGGCUACUGUCUUUUGGCAGUAGUGCUGGCGACCGGCAAACGGGUGAGUAACACGUAGCUUACCUACCCAUAGGUUGGGGAUAACAUCCCGAAAGGGGUGCUAAUACCCAAUAAUGAGGAGACUCCAAAGCCCUUAUGGGCGCCUAUGGAUGGGGCUGCGUCCCAUCAGCUAGUUGGUGAGGUAAUGGCUCACCAAGGCUACGACGGGUAACCGGUCUGAGAGGAUGACCGGUCACAGCGGGACUGAGACACGGCCCGCACCCCUACGGGGGGCAGCAGUGGGGAAUAUUGGGCAAUGGCCGAAAGGCUGACCCAGCAACGCCGCGUGGUGGAUGAAGCCCUUCGGGGUGUAAACACCUUUUCUGGGGGAAGAUAAUGACGGUACCCCAGGAAUAAGGGACGGCUAACUACGUGCCAGCAGCCGCGGUAAUACGUAG
rnacentral:rRNA from 1 species